rnacentral:pre_miRNA from 1 species
CUAGUACUCCCUCCGUCCGGAAUUACUUGUCAUGGAAAUGGAUGUAUCUAGAUGUAUUUUAGUUCUAGAGACAACCAUUUUUCCGAGAAGUAAUUCAGGAUGGAGGGAGUACUCA